rnacentral:misc_RNA from 1 species
UACGAAGGGGGCUAGCGUUGUUCGGAAUCACUGGGCGUAAAGCGCACGUAGGCGGGUUCUUAAGUCAGGGGUGAAAUCCCGAGGCUCAACCUCGGAACUGCCUUUGAUACUGGGAAUCUUGAGUUCGGGAGAGGUGAGUGGAAUUGCGAGUGUAGAGGUGAAAUUCGUAGAUAUUCGCAAGAACACCAGUGGCGAAGGCGGCUCACUGGCCCGGUACUGACGCUGAGGUGCGAAAGCGUGGGGAGCAAACAGG